rnacentral:rRNA from 1 species
CCUACGGGAGGCAGCAGUGGGGAAUAUUGGUCAAUGGACGAGAGUCUGAACCAGCCAAGUAGCGUGAAGGAUGACUGCCCUAUGGGUUGUAAACUUCUUUUAUAUGGGAAUAAAACGUUCCACGUGUGGGAUUUUGUAUGUACCAUAUGAAUAAGGAUCGGCUAACUCCGUGCCAGCAGCCGCGGUAAUACGGAGGGUACGAGCGUUAUCCGGAUUUAUGGGGUUUAAAGGGAGCGUAGGUGGAUUGUUAAGUCAGUUGUGAAAGUUUGCGGCUCAACCGUAAGAUUGCAGUUGAAACUGGCAGUCUUGAGUACAGUAGAGGUGGGCGGAAUUCGUGGUGUAGCGGUGAAAUGCUUAGAUAUCACGAAGAACACCGAUUGCGAAGGCAGCUCACUGGACUGCAACUGACACUGAGGCUCGAAAGUGUGGGGAUCAAACAGGAUUAGAUACCCGAGUAGUC